UUGAAUACUAUAGAGACAUAUUUGGUAAAAAGGAAGAAAGGGAUAUUAUAACGCAGACUUCUGGCAAAAUUGAAAGCAAGAUAUCAAUUCGCAACAGUCAAAUC